rnacentral:tRNA from 1 species
GGGCGAAUAGCUCAAUUGGUAGAGCAGUGGACUCUUAAUCCAUUGGCUGACGGUUCAAGUCCGUCUUCGCCCA